GGUGGCUCAGGGGUAGAGUGCUUGCCUUGCAUGCAUGAGGCCCUGGGUUCGAUUCCUCAGUACCA
rnacentral:tRNA from 1 species